UUCGGGUUUGGAGUGUUUGAAGUAAAGACUUGUCCCAAAAACUUAGGAAUUCCAUUAGCAUCACAUGAAAAUUCUACCUGGAGCAGAGCAGUCAACAUGAGAAAGACUGGAUGAUGCUGUCAGAGAGAGAUUCAAGCAGGUCCUUAAUACACUGAUUUGGUAUUGAUAUAGCUGAAUUCCUUCAGGAGGCCGACAUUUGUUUGCUUCUUAAUGGAAGCUGAGGUAAGGAAGUACAGGACUACUCCUUCCCAUGUUGCCGGUCAGGGGUGGGAGGGGGCGAUGCAUUUUGCUCCUGCUGAGAAAACAGAACUUUGUUCCUUGGCUGACUGGCUCUAGCUCACUUUAGGAACUGCUCCUUACAAGUUCCAUUCCCUAAUUCUGCUGGUGUUGAAAAAGCUGGUUUAGUUUUGUUUUUAUUCCAAGCCACAGAUGUUUUAUGACAAUGAAACCAGAUGACACUUGGUAGUGAAAAUAAUCACAAAUCAUAAGGCCUCCUACAAUGCAGGUUUCCUUCCUGAUCAGAACUCUCUUAAAAGGAACAAAACGGAGCACGUAGGCUGUAACUUUGACUUGUAACCGAUUUUCACACAGGGUACUUCCAGUGGCCGUCGAGCCUUCCUUUUAACCUAAACAUCCUGUUUCCAUUCCUUUCUGUUCUCCUACUUAAGCCCUGCCAAAGGUGUUUUGGGUUUCUCCAUCACUGCAAUGCUACUUUUCAUGUUGAGAGGCACUUUUUCAAUGAGGUACAGACGUUCAUGAGGAGAGACAACACUGCUGUAAAGCAGGAAUGAGAUGUAGUAUUGUGGCCUACGAGAAGGGAAGCGCAUCUAACUGUGAUAGAAACGACAGCCCUGUGAUUCAUUAGAAUAAAAACAAUGAGUGAAUACCUACAGUACAGCUCUGGCAAGCAGAAGGCUGCCCUUUUUGUUGUACUCCAGCACCACUUAGUGCGGAGACGUUCCAGAGGUCACUAAUGGGAAAAUAAGUUUGUACA